GCGUCUGAUUAGCUAGUUGGUGGGGUAAAGGCUACCAAGGCGACGAUCAGUAGCCGACUGAGAGGGUGAUCGGCCACACUGGAACUGAGACACGGUCCAGACUCUACGGGAGGCAGCAGUGGGGAAUAUUGCACAAUGGGCGAAAGCCUGAUGCAGCAACGCCGCGUGAGCGAUGAAGGCCUUCGGGUCGUAAAGCUCUGUCCUAAGGGAAGAAUAAUGACGGUACCUUAGGAGGAAGCCCCGGCUAACUACGUGCCAGCAGCCGCGGUAAUACGUAGGGGGCAAGCGUUAUCCGGAAUCACUGGGCGUAAAGGGUGCGUAGGCGGCCAAAUAAGCCAGAGGUGAAAGGCUACGGCUCAACCGUAGUAAGCCUUUGGAACUGUAUGGCUUGAGUGCAGGAGAGGAGAGUGGAAUUCCUAGUGUAGCGGUGAAAUGCGUAGAUAUUAGGAGGAACACCAGUGGCGAAGGCGACUCUCUGGACUGCAACUGACGCUGAGGCACGAAAGCGUGGGGAGCGAACAGGAUUAGAUACCCUGGUAGUCCGCGCCGUAAACGAUGAGUGCUAGGUGUCGGGGGUUCACACCCUCGGUGCCGGAGUUAACGCAUUAAGC
rnacentral:rRNA from 2 species